AUGGCGUCCCCGUCCAUCUCCGACGCUGCGGUGGCCAGCCCCGUCACCCCGGUGGCCCUAGACCCCAGCCCCGUCGCAUCCCGCCCCCCCGCCGCCACCGCCCCGGUGCGCAAGCGGCCGGUCCUCCUCCUCGACCAGCGCCCGCACCCAUCCACCCCGACGUCGCGCACCGCUGCCGCCGCCGCCGCCGCCGCUGCGCCCCUGUCCCAGGCGCGGCGGAAGAGGGGGCUGUCGUCCUCCGGUCGGCCGAGGUGGCAGACCGCGCUAAGCGUCGCCGCCAAGAACGCAGCCCUCCUAGCCGUGCUCCUUUACCUGGGGGACCAGGCCUGGCGCUGGGCGCACCCAGCCCCUCUCGCGCAGCCCGACGACGCUGCGCUCGCGGGUUACACUGCCCGUGUCAACGACGUCGAGGCCUCCCUCGCCCGCGCCUUCGGGGCGCUGAAGGUGCAGCUCGAGGCCGUGGACCGCAAGAUCGACGGCGAGGUUGGGGCCGCUCGGGGCGAGCUCGCGGCGCUGCUGGAGGAGAAGAGGCUUGCCAUCGAGGGACAGCUCAACCUGCUGGACGCCAGGACCGACGAGCUGAACGACGCGCUGGGCGGGCUCAGGCGGAUGGAGUUCCUCAGGAAGGACCAGUUUGAAGCAUUCCUGGAUGAGUUCAAGGAGAGCCUAGGCUCCAACUCUGGCACCGAGGUCGAUCUGGAUCAGGUCCGCGCGUUGGCCAGGGAGAUCGUCAUGAGGGAAAUAGAGAAGCAUGCCGCCGAUGGGGUUGGCAGGGUGGACUAUGCCGUGGGGUCUGCUGGGGGAAGAGUUGUCCGCUACUCGGAGGCAUAUGAUGCUGGGAAACGUGGUGGUCUUCUUUCUGCAUUACCAUUUGGUGGUGGAGACAAUGGUGACCAGUCACAGAAGAUACUUCAGCCGAGCUUUGGGGAGCCCGGGCAGUGCUUUCCCUUGAAGGGGAGUAGUGGGUUUGUGGAGAUCCAACUGAGGAAGGGGAUAAUCCCUGAGGCAAUCACACUGGAGCAUGUGUCCAAGGAUGUGGCGUAUGACAUGUCCACUGCUCCAAAGGACUGCCGGCUAUCCGGAUGGUACCAAGGAACACAUACCGAGACCCCUCCAAACCAUGCUGCAGAGAUGUACGCCUUGACCGAGUUCACGUACGACCUAGCCAAGAACAAUAUCCAGACAUUCGAUAUAACUGCCCCAGAUGUCGGUGUUGUCAACAUGGUUAGGCUGGACUUCACUUCAAACCAUGGAAGCUCCGCGCUGACGUGCAUUUACCGCAUCCGGGUGCAUGGGCAUGAGCCUGUCACGCCAGUAAUCGCUAGUCCACUGCCCUGA
rnacentral:rRNA from 1 species